GCGUGGAUGAUGAAGGCNUUCGGGUGUAAAAAUCCUUUCCGGGCAAUGAGGAAGGACACUAGCCUGGGAAUAAGCGUCGGCUAACUACGUGCCAGCAGCCGCGGUAAGACGUAGGACGCGAGCGUUAUCCGGAUUUACUGGGCGUAAAGCGCCUGCAGGCGGUCAGGUAAGUCGGUUGUGAAAGCCCCGUGCUCAACGCGGGGAGGCCAAGCGAUACUGCGUGACUUGAGGGCGGAAGAGGGGAGUGGAAUUCCCGGUGUAGCGGUAAAAUGCGCAGAUAUCGGGAGGAACACCAGUGGCGAAGGCGGCUCCCUGGACCGCACCUGACGCUCAGAGGCGAAAGCUAGGGGAGCGAACAGGAUUAGAGACCCUGGUAGUCCUAGCCCUAAACGCUGGAUGCUAGGUGUAGGGCUGAUGAGGCUCUGUGCCGGAGCGAACGCGAUAAGCAUCCCGCCUGGGAACUACGGCCGCAAGGCUAAAACUCAAACGAAUUGACGGGGACCCGCACAAGCAGCGGAGCGUGUGGUUUAAUUCGAUGCUACACGAAGAACCUUACCUGGGUUUGACAUGUUGGUGGUACCGAACCGAAAGGGGAGGGACCCUUCGGGGAGCCAACACAGGUGCUGCAUGGCUGUCGUCAGCUCGUGCCGUGAGGUGUCGGGUUAAGUCCCGUAACGAGCGCAACCCUUGCUCUUAGUUAUACGUGUCUAAGGGGACUGCCGGCGACAAGCCGGAGGAAGGUGGGGAUGACGUCAAGUCAGCAUGGCCUUGAUAUCCAGGGCUACACACACGCUACAAUGGCCGGUACAAAGGGCAGCCAAGCCGCGAGGUGGAGCGAAUCCCAGCAAAGCCGGUCCCAGUUCGGAUUGCAGGCUGCAACCCGCCUGCAUGAAGUUGGAGUU
rnacentral:rRNA from 1 species